AGCAGCCGCGGUAAUUCCAGCUCCAAUAGCGUAUAUUAAAGUUGUUGCAGUUAAAAAGCUCGUAGUUGAAUUUCGGGAUUGACGUGAUGGUCGUGCCUUACGGGGUAUGAACUGUUGCAGUCAAUUUCUCACCUUCUGGAGAAAUAUGAUGUCCUUAAUUGGGUGUCAUAUGGAACCAGAACUUUUACCUUGAAAAAUUGAGUGUUUAAAGCAGGCUUAUUGCUCGAAUACAUUAGCAUGGAAUAAUAAAAUAGGACGGCAUGGUUCUAUUUUGUUGGUUUCUAGGAUCACCGUAAUGAUUAAUAGGGAUAGUUGGGGGCAUUAGUAUUCAAUUGUCAGAGGUGAAAUUCUUGGAUUUAUUGAAGACUAACUACUGCGAAAGCAUUUGCCAAGGAUGUUUUCAUUAAUCAAGAACGAAAGUUAGGGGAUCGAAGACGAUCAGAUACCGUCGUAGUCUUAACCAUAAACUAUGCCGACUAGGAAUCAGACGAUGUUAAUUUUUUAAUGACUCGUUUUGGAC
rnacentral:misc_RNA from 1 species